UAGGGAAUCUUCGGCAAUGGACGAAAGUCUGACCGAGCAACGCCGCGUGAGUGAAGAAGGUUUUCGGAUCGUAAAACUCUGUUGGUAGAGAAGAACGUUGGUGAGAGUGGAAAGCUCAUCAAGUGACGGUAACUACCCAGAAAGGGACGGCUAACUACGUGCCAGCAGCCGCGGUAAUACGUAGGUCCCGAGCGUUGUGCGGAUUUAUUGGGCGUAAAGCGAGCGCAGGUGGUUUAUUAAGUCUGGUGUAAAAGGCAGUGGCUCAACCAUUGUAUGCAUUGGAAACUUGUAGACUUGAGUGCAGGAGAGGAGAGUGGAAUUCCAUGUGUAGCGGUGAAAUGCGUAGAUAUAUGGAGGAACACCGGUGGCGAAAGCGGCUCUCUGGCCUGUAACUGACACUGAGGCUCGAAAGCGUGGGGAGCAAACA
rnacentral:rRNA from 1 species